rnacentral:rRNA from 1 species
GCUGGAGGUAUCAGAAGUGCGAAUGCUGACAUAAGUAACGAUAAAGCGGGUGAAAAGCCCGCUCGCCGGAAGACCAAGGGUUCCUGUCCAACGUUAAUCGGGGCAGGGUGAGUCGACCCCUAAGGCGAGGCCGAAAGGCGUAGUCGAUGGGAAACGGGUUAAUAUUCCCGUACUUGGUGUUACUGCGAAGGGGGGACGGAGAAGGCUAUGUUGGCCGGGCGACGGUUGUCCCGGUUUAAGCGUGUAG